GAUGAACGCUGGCGGCGUGCCUAAUACAUGCAAGUCGAGCGAACGGACGAGAAGCUUGCUUCUCUGAUGUUAGCGGCGGACGGGUGAGUAACACGUGGAUAACCUACCUAUAAGACUGGGAUAACUUCGGGAAACCGGAGCUGAUACCGGAUAAUAUUUUGAACCGCAUGGUUCAAAAGUGAAAGACGGUCUUGCUGUCACUUAUAGAUGGAUCCGCGCUGCAUUAGCUAGUUGGUAAGGUAACGGCUUACCAAGGCAACGAUGCAUAGCCGACCUGAGAGGGUGAUCGGCCACACUGGAACUGAGACACGGUCCAGACUCCUACGGGAGGCAGCAGUAGGGAAUCUUGCGCAAUGGGCGAAAGCCUGACGGAGCAACGCCGCGUGAGUGAUGAAGGUCUUCGGAUCGUAAAACUCUGUUAUUAGGGAAGAACAUAUGUGUAAGUAACUGUGCACAUCUUGACGGUACCUAAUCAGAAAGCCACGGCUAACUACGUG
rnacentral:rRNA from 1 species